rnacentral:rRNA from 1 species
UACAGAGGGUGCAAGCGUUAAUCGGAAUUACUGGGCGUAAAGCGUGCGUAGACGGUUCGAUAAGUCGGGUGUGAAAGCCCCGGGCUCAACCUGGGAAUUGCAUUCGAGACUGUCGGGCUAGGGUGCGGAAGAGGGAAGCGGAAUUUCCGGUGUAGCGGUGAAAUGCGUAGAUAUCGGAAGGAACACCAGUGGCGAAAGCGGCUUCCUGGUCCAGCACCGACGUUCAGGCACGAAAGCGUGGGGAGCAAACAGG